ensembl:misc_RNA Y_RNA Y RNA
GGCCUGUCUGAAGAUACUGAGUAACCUCAAUUAAUUGUUCACAGUCAGUUACUAAUUAAACUGCAUUUUCUACUCUUUUCUCCCCUUCUCACUACUGUACUUGAUUCCUUUU